rnacentral:lncRNA from 1 species
AAAAAAUCAGGAAAAAUCAUGAUUAAAUAAUAGAGAUCCAUAUGGACACAAUGCAAAAAUUCCCAUGAAAUUUGGAUUUAAAAUGAAUGUGAUAUGAUUUUUGCAAGAUGAUGUAACAAAAUGAAAUGAAUAUUGAAAACACACAUGACUUAAUGAGACCAAUGGCACGGGGAUGGCAAAUUUGUAAAUAUUGGGCCAACUUAAUGAAACGCGGCGUAUUGGCUCAUGGCUGGAAAUGUUUUGAUUGGCUGUUGGCUAAUGGAAC